rnacentral:rRNA from 1 species
CCUACGGGGAGCAGCAGUGGGGGAUAUUGCACAAUGGGGGAAACCCUGAUGCAGCGACGCCGCGUGUGGGAAGACGGUCUUCUGGAUUGUAAACCACUGUCCCCAGGGACGAAAAUGACGGUACCUGGGGAGGACGCUCCGGCUAACUACGUGCCAGCAGCCGCGGUAAUACGUAGGGAGCAAGCGUUGUCCGGAAUUACUGGGGGUAAAGGGAGCGUAGGCGGGGAUGCAAGUUGGGUGUCAAAACUACCGGCUCAACCGAUAGUCGCACUCAAAACUGCAACUCUUGAGUGAAGUAGAGGCAGGCGGAAUUCCUAGUGUAGCGGUGAAAUGCGUAGAUAUUAGGAGGAACACCAGUGGCGAAGGCGGCCUGCUGGGCUUUUACUGACGCUGAGGCUCGAAAGUGUGGGGAGCAAACAGGAUUAGAUACCCCAGUAGUC